AAUACGGUAUUGUAAUGCCUGUGAAGAAUCGUCUUUGAUUUUGAUUUUACUUUUAAUUUAUUUGCAAAGUGCAUGCCUCCUGUGCUUUCCCUGGGGAUGCGUGUAGUGGCAGGGAGCUGUCCCCCUGGAACCCCGGGAUGAGCUGCUGCAGGUGCAUAGAAGCCAGGAGAAUUGAUGGAACUGUGGGCCAUCCGUGUAAAGGCUGCUGGAACACAAGCAUUUUAAGACUCCUACACGUUACCAGACCCAAGAGUGAGAAUAGCAUUCAUCUAUUAUGUGCGACAGAAAUGGCAUAAGCUUCCUUCAUCAUUUGAAACAUUGAUCGGGAUAAAUGAUGUUCCCCUGGCAAAUGUUGUUUUAUGAAAAAUCAAACAGACUGAAACAAAGAAAUGAGCAAGCAGACCCCACUGAAGCAAACUGGAUAUUAGAGCUCAUGGCCUUAAAGCCCUGUGGUAGUCAGUCUGAGCCUGCUUCCUUACUCUGGUGUCCUGGUGGCCUUCCUGGUCUCAUCUGCCAUGCAUUUUAUUUUUAUAUACUUUGCGAGCCAGCCCUCAUUUCUGCCGGAGUGACACUCAGGUGCUCUUCACUUGACUGUCUUCAGCAUGGCCCAGUCAAGAUCACUGCCUGCUGAAUUGGCACAAGCAAUUACUUGCUGGCUUCUCAGGUCUAAUAAUUUAAUCAGCCCUCAGGCUCACCAGCUUCCCUGGCUUGACCUGCCUUCUGUUACACAUCAGUCCUUGGCCUAGUUAAGCCUCACUUCCAAUCUGCAAGGCUUUUAAUGAUCCCAGCUCAAGUCUUAGGGCUUUUGUCUCCCCUGAUCAGCAGGGAUUCUGGUUUUCUCUGUUUAACAAUCCCAAAUGCUCUGAUAAAUGCCCCCAAAUUCUCUGAUUUUAAAUCCCAAAAUGCACUUUUUCCAUGAUUUUAAAAUGAAACCCCACUAUAUACAGGUAUCAGUUGAACAAUGUUUUAUUGAUAAUAUAUUUACAAUAUUAAUGCAGCUUGGAAGUCUACCAGUUCUUCAAUCAUUAUAAUAAAAUGAAUUCUAAAUACCUAUA